rnacentral:ncRNA from 1 species
CGACCUCAGAGCAGGCGAGAUCACCCGCUGAAUUUAAGCAUAUUAUUAAGCGGAGGAAAAGAAACUAACCAGGAUUUCCCUAGUAGCGGCGAGCGAACAGGAAUGAGCCCAGCACCGAAUCCCGCGGUUCCGCCGCAGGGAAAUGUGGUGUUCGGGAGGAUCCGCUUAUCCCGAGGUGCCGCGUCGCGUCCAAGUCCAUCUUGAAUGGGGCCACUUACCCGCAGAGGGUGCCAGGCCCGUAGCGACCGGUGCGCGUCUCGGGAGGAUCUCUCCUCAGAGUCGGGUUGCUUGAGAGUGCAGCUCUAAGUGGGUGGUAAACUCCAUCUAAGGCUAAAUACGACCACGAGACCGAUAGCGAACAAGUACCGUGAGGGAAAGU